rnacentral:RNase_P_RNA from 1 species
CGGAUGAACAAGGAAAUCGCGGUUUGGCAUGUCCAGACUGAGGAAAGUCCGCACUCCAUAGGGCGCGAUGCUAGUUAACGACUAGGCGAGGUAACUCGCCGGAAUAGUGCCACAGAGAUGAGAUUGCAUCGUGAAAACGGUGUGAGGGUGAAACGGUGCGGUAAGAGCGCACCAGUGCGGUUGGUGACAAUCGUAGCUCGGUAAACCCCAUCGGGAGCAAGGUCAAGCAGGAGCAUAGAGGCUGCCCGUCUCGUAUGAAGCUCCGGGUAGACUGCAUGAGGUGUCUGGUGACAGGCAUCCCAGAUAGAUGAUUUCCACCUCGUAAGAGGGACAGAAUGCGGCUUAUGCGGUCAUCCCGGUA